UCUGGUGCUUCGUCGCAGAGGUCACACCCGUUCUCAUUCCGAACACGGCAGUUAAGCCUCCGAGAACCGAUGGUAGUCGCAAGGCAAGAGUAGGUAGUCGCCAGAA
rnacentral:rRNA from 1 species